AUCUAGGUAGUUCAAUGAAUAGAACACUAAACUUAGAAUUAGGAAGAGUUGAGUCCAAAUCUGACCUUGGACA
rnacentral:tRNA from 1 species